GGAUGGGAACGCGAUUUUGAUCAUUGUGGCGCUAACGUGAAUAACGAGAAAAAGCGAGAAUCAAAUCGCGCACUCUUUUCCCCUUGAUUUUUCAUGGUAUUUUCGAGCUUAAAACUUAGUUAUUUGUUGUCAACAUAAAAAAAAACACGUCAAUUUCAGCAAUAAACCCUCUGAAACACUAUUUAUUGACGUUUAGUUGAUCAUAACCUUUGAACGUGUGUUUAAUUUACCGAAAGAGUUGGUCAGCUGUUCGGCUUUUGGACUUUGGCAACUACGUUUGUAUGACGGUAAGGUGCAAACAUUUCUGGUCGAUGAUGUAAGGCGUUUUUGAAAUAAAAACAGUAUUAUUUUAUUUUUUUGAAACGAAAGAACAUUGAUCAGAAUAUGCUUGAUCAUGAAAUGGUUGUUUAUAACCGAUAUUUGUUAACAUUCUGACAAACAACGAAGUAACCGAGACACCGUUUCCCAGUUUAUCACGAGGAACAUCCGGUGUUAAACUUCAACGUUUCUUGGUUUAAAUUGUGGAAUUUCAAGUGGUAAGUACAAAUAAAAUGUUAUUUAAUCAUUAAUGAUUAUUUUUAAUCAGUAUAACACAAUCUACAAGCUUGAUAAGUAAUUUGACAGUACUUUCACAUGGCAAUCAAAGUAAUUGUCAAAACCCGGAAGUGAAUUCUGCGAAUUGUUUUGUUGUUAGCAACCGAUAAUGACCGCCAAGGUUAAAUGUUAAACGUUGUCACAGGCCUCGACGGUACCUUAUGAAAAAGAAUAUAUUCAAAAUGAUGAUCCAGAUUUUGCAAAUGAACAACUUUAACUUGACAAUCUUUAUUAUAAAUGAAUUUGUGCAGUCUUCUCAAAGUCAAAAUAUAAAAGAUUCAGAUGAAAGGUCAAUUUUAUGUUUGAUAAAUAAUGAUGAUUUUGAUUGUGAAAUGAACAAGAGUCUGAUAGUGGACAUGAUGUUUCUGAGACUAAUUUCAACGACAUAAAAAAAUGUAAAAUAGUUAUGAUGGUACUCUGAGAACUGAAGAUGUCAAGGAGAUUCAAAAUGUAAACAAACUGCAGUGUGCAUACUACUAUCAUUUGAAUGUUACUGAAUAACGGUUCGGAUCACCUGUUUUCAUAAAGUAAAAUACUAUUUGAUUUUUUAUUUGCUAUCAUUAUUGUCUUUGAAGGUGCUGAACCAUGUAGCCAAGAUGUGCACUACCACUACUCAUGGGAUUUUGCCCAGCAAGUCCACUAUCCACAUCAUGCCAACAAGUUGGGCCGAUAUAUUUCGCUACCCCACAGAAGUGUCAUGUGUUUCGCAUGUGUGCCUUAGGUUCAGCUAUGUUUUUAUGGAAAGUAGACAUUUUAUCUGGUGGACGAGGCCGAAUUGCCGGGGAAAGGAAGUGACAGUGUCGUGAGCCUGGCCCACCACUACUUUCAGCACUAUGGUGUCGGUGAAAAACAUGCUGAGGUUUAUUUCGAUAAUGCUGUCGGCCAAAACAAGAACAAUGCUGUGCUUUGGUAUGCCAUGUGACCUGUAAUGACAGGAUUGCAUGAGAGUGUAACACUAAACACUAUGUUGGCUGGGCACACCAAAUUUGCUCCUGACUGUCACUUCGGCAACUGGAAGGUCCAGUGGCGAUGUUGUAAUGCCGAGAAUCUUCAAGAAAUUGCCCACACUGUUUUCACCUCUUCAAAGUCCGGCCACAACAUCCCACACUUGGUUUAUGACCCUCAACAGCCAAUCACAGUUCACAGUUGGAAAUCAUUCCUAGAUACAUAUUUCAAAACUCUAAAGAAUAUUACCAAAUACCACCAUUUCUAUGUAUCAAAACAUAAACCAGGAGUUGUAGUAUGCAAAGAGUUUGUAGAUUCCUCAGAAAUUGAAGUUAUUCUUUUGAGGAUGAGUCCAGAAUGUGGUGUUUUGCCUGAAAUAAAGCACGCAACGUGCCUAGAUGCUGAACGUCAAUCGUACCUUCAAUAUUCUUUUGGUCCAUUCUUUAGAUCUGAGUCAUCAAGAUCUGUAGUAUGCCCUAAACCAACUGUGUAAAGUCGAAGUUUACUCAUUUGUUGGUGAAAUGUCGAUUGUAGAUCAAAUGUUUGUGGCAAAUAUGAAAGAAAUGAGUAAAAAAUGGCUUAUCACAUGUAACCAUAGCAACAGGCUGUUGUUUUAUGUAGUUCUUUUAUGUCAUUUUGUACAUAUAAUGAGCAAUGUGUACUCUUUGUGUCUAUGAAUUAGUUUAUGUGUUAGCUAUAACAGACAGUUAAGUUAGUAUUUCGGCAUGGACACUGCAUUUAAAAUAAGAACAUUUUUAGUGGACAUUGUUUUCAAACUGGCUUACCAAUGUGUAACAGAAUGAUCCAUAUCUUUUGAUUUCUUUGUACAAAAAUGACUAGAAACUUUAGUUUUUAUACCUAAGAUACUUGGUAUCAUUUACAUGCCAAUAACUUAAAACGCAUUGUAUAUUGAGAACACAUUAUUUGUGGCAGACUUUGAAAAUGAUUGGAAAUAGCAUUUUCAUUAGUAACCAUAGCAACCGAUUUUUGCUUUGACCUUUGUGGCCAAUUUCUAUGUCAUUAUAGACAUUAGCAAUGUGUACUUGCUAUUUUAAUGUUGAAGUUUAUGUAACACUAGUAAAGAUAAGUGAUAUAUUUAAACAGGUAUCUUGACAUAUAUAUAAUAUUUAAAAUAAGAACAGUUUUGUUCACAUUGUUUUUUAUCCCUGUGUUUCAUAAUGUUUCAUAUGUUUUAUAACUUUUGUGAAAUUUAACGUGAAACUUUAGAGUUAAUUUCUGUAAAUACUUAGUAUCAUAAAGAUGUCAAUAACUUAUAAAUAAAAAAAAAUUAUGCGGACUUUCAAAAAUGAUUGGUAAUAGCAUUUUCAUAAGUAACCAUAGCAACUGAAUUUUGCUUUGACCUUUGUUGUAAGUUUCUUUAUCAUUAUGGACAUUAGCAAUGUAUACUUGUUAUUUUCCUUUUGUAGUGAAUGUGAUACUAGUAAAGAUAGUUUUAUAUAUUAAUAUUUUGACUUGUGUACUUCAUUCAAAAUAAGAACAGAUUUAGCGAACAUUUCGUUCAAAUUGUGUUAAAGCUCUCUGUUACGAAAUGUUCCAUAUCCAUUGUUGUUUUUUUAAUAUUUGACUGACUAGUUCAGAUUUUAUUUCUGCAAUUGCUUGGUAUCAUAAAAAUGUCAAUAACUUAAAACACAACUUUAUGAAAAACAUUAUUUUUUGAGAAACAUUUAGAAAAUGAGUGAAAAUGGCAUUAUCAAUAGUUACCAUAGCAACCAAAUGCACUUAUGAACUUUUCGUUAACUUUUGUAAUCAAACUAUGAGUGCUUAUUGUUUCUAUGCUAAAACUUAUAUGUUACAUGUAAAUAGUCCUUGACAUGAUACUUAUCUGACAUGGAUAUUUCAUUCUAAAUAAACACAUUAGACCAUA